UACGUAGGGUGCAAGCGUUAAUCGGAAUUACUGGGCGUAAAGCGUGCGCAGACGGUUUCGUAAGUCUGUCGUGAAAUCCCCGGGCUUAACCUGGGAAUGGCGAUGGAGACUGCGAGGCUAGAGUUUGGCAGAGGGGGGUAGAAUUCCACGUGUAGCAGUGAAAUGCGUAGAGAUGUGGAGGAACACCGAUGGCGAAGGCAGCCCCCUGGGUCAAAACUGACGCUCAUGCACGAAAGCGUGGGGAGCAAACAGG
rnacentral:rRNA from 1 species